rnacentral:rRNA from 1 species
AAUGAACGUUGGCGGCGUGGAUUAGGCAUGCAAGUCGAGCGAGAACCCCGCAAGGGGGGAAAGCGGCGUAAGGGAGAGUAACGCGUGGUUAUCUGCCCUCGGGACCGGGAUAGCUGUGGGAAACUGCAGGUAAUACCGGAUAAUGUCUCCGGACCAAAGGUGUGAUUCCGUCCGAGGAUGAGACCGCGUCCUAUUAGCUUGUUGGCGGGGGAAUGGCCCACCAAGGCAAUGAUGGGUACUGGGUGUGAGAGCACGACCCGGCUCACUGGGACUGAGACACUGCCCCGACACCUACGGGUGGCUGCAGUCGAGGAUCUUCGGCAAUGGGCGCAAGCCUGACCGAGCGACGCCGCGUGCGGGAUGAAGGCUUUCGGGUUGUAAACCGCUGUCAGAGGGGAUGAAAUGCCGGCAAGUUCUCUUGCCGGUUCGACAUAUCCUCAGGGGAAGUACGGGCUAAGUUCGUGCCAGCCGCCGCCGUAACAC